AUUGAACGCUGGCGGAAUGCUUUACACAUGCAAGUCGAACGGCAGCACGGACUUCGGUCUGGUGGCGAGUGGCGAACGGGUGAGUAAUGUAUCGGAACGUGCCCAGUCGGGGGGGAUAACGUAGUGAAAAUUACGCUAAUACCGCAUACGAUCUAUGGAUGAAAGCGGGGGAUCGCAAGACCUCGCGCGAAUGGAACGGCCGAUAUCAGAUUAGGUAGUUGGUGGGGUAAAGGCCCACCAAGCCAACGAUCUGUAGCUGGUCUGAGAGGACGACCAGCCACACUGGAACUGAGACACGGUCCAGACUCCUACGGGAGGCAGCAGUGGGGAAUUUUGGACAAUGGGCGAAAGCCUGAUCCAGCCAUUCCGCGUGCAGGGUGAAGGCCCUCGGGUUGUAAACUGCUUUUGUACAGAACGAAAAGGUUUCUACUAAUACUAGGAGCUCAUGACGGUACUGUAAGAAUAAGCACCGGCUAACUACGUGCCAGCCGCGCCGUAA
rnacentral:rRNA from 1 species